CAUAACACACACAUUCAGCUCCUCAUAGCUCCUGUUGCUAAUGUUUUGACCCAUAAAGCAAAUAAAAGAAGAAACAGAGAAAAACAGAGGAUUUUCAAUUACCCUUUCUUUUCUUUGGUUUCCACAAUCCUCUCUGGGAUUGGAUUGAUCAUUCUGAUUAUGUGGGAUUUGUUUUUGAUUCAUUGUUGAGGUUUUUGUUUGGGGAGAGAUAUCUAAAGAGACAGAGAAAGAGAGGGAGAUGGGAUCAGCAUUGGAAAUUGGAAUCAAAAUUAGGAAACUUGUUGUCAUUUCAAUCAGAGGGGGUUACAGAUCAGUUUGCAAUCAUCCAUUCCUUGUGUGUAUUUUUGGUUUCUUGCUUUUGUUGUACAAAUAUUUUCCUUUUCUGUUUUCUGUUUUGGUUUCUGCAUCUCCUGUUUUGGUCUGCACUGCUGUUCUGCUUGGGACCCUUCUCAGUUUUGGGCAGCCAAAUGUGCCCGAAAUCGAAAAGGAAGAGAAAGUUACUCAUGGCAUUUCAUCCUUCCAAACUGGGUUUUCAGAGGGUGACACUGUUGUUGCUGACAGAGAUGAGAGCUAUUUUGUGAAAGGAUAUUCAGAAAGUAGGAGUGAUGUAGAAGAUGGCGGCAUUGAAGAAGCGAGUUUGGCGGGAGAGAAAGAUAAUAGGGAUGAGGAAGAUCGCGGCUUGCUUUUGGAUGUGCCAGUGGAUGAUGAAAACUUGCAGGAUAUUCGGCAUGAGAAGCAAGUGAAAGAGGAAGUGGAAAGGGAAUUCCAUACUUUUGAAUUGGGAAAGAACGGGGAAGUUCAUGAGGAGAACUUGAGGUCUGAAGUUGUUUCAAGUGACGAGGAAGCUAUUGAGAAACAAUAUGUCAUGGUUCAAAAUGUAAAUGAUGAUAUUAUUGAAAUUGAGCAUGAGGAAACUCCAGGUGAUCUUAAGGGAGAUCGUGUGGACUUUUCAUCCAGUUCGUCUUGGAAACCGAUGGAGAACAACGAUGAUGAUGAGGAGUCUGUGGAGUCAGGGUCUGAUCAGACGGAGAGCUCUUCUCCAGAUGCUUCCAUGGCUGACAUCAUUCCAAUGCUUGAUGAGCUCCACCCACUAUUAGACCUAGAUGCUCCACAGCCUGUUCAGGUGUCCCGUGAUGGCUCUUAUGCUGCUUCAGAGAAGAGUCAGAAAAGUGAUGAUGACAUUGUCGAAUCAGAUGAAGAUACUGAAAACCGUGGCGAAGUGGAAGAAGAUGGUGUUGAUGAACGUGAUGAAGAAGAGGAAGAAGAAAUGGAGGGUGGCAAAGAGGAUGAAAGUAAAUCUGCUAUUAAGUGGACAGAGGCUGACCAAAAGAAUCUCAUUGAUCUGGGGACUUUAGAGUUAGAAAGGAAUCAACGGUUGGAGAAUCUUAUUGCUAGAAGAAGAGCAAGGAGACUAAUGACUGAGAAGAAUCUAAUUGACUUAGAUUUUUCUGAUAUUCCCAGUAAUGUUGCACCCAUUGCUACAACAAGACGUAACCCAUUUGAUUUCCCUGAUGAAUCCUAUGCUGCCAUGGGAUUACCACCCAUUCCUGGAUCAGCUCCAUCUAUUCUACAGCCUAGACGAAACCCUUUUGAUAUUCCCUAUGACUCAAAUGAAGAAAAACCUGAUCUUAAGGGGGACAGUUUUCAACAAGAGUUCACAAUGCUCAAUCAAAAAGAUGCAGUUUUUCGGAGGCAUGAAAGCUUCAGCGUGGGACCAUCAGUAUUGGGGAUAUCCAAACACGAGAGGCAUGAUAUUAAUUGGAAACCUGUCUUUAUACCCGAAAGGAUGGCUUCAGAGGGAACAAGUUAUUCCUCAUUCCAGAGGCAAUCGAGUGAUUUAAGUGAUUCAAAAUUGAGUUCUGUUCCAGAUACUGAAUCAGUGAGUUCAAUUGAUCAGGAUGAGAGGAAAUUCAGUGAACAAGACUUGUCUCAAGAAACUGAAUUAGAAGCUAACAUUGAUCAUGUUUCUGAUGCUGCUGAACACGGAAGCCAAUACUCUGCAGAAAAUGAUUCUGUCGAGAUGAUAGAAGCUGAGGAGAGCAAUGUUCACCACGAUGAAGUUGAAAUAGUAUUGGGUGGGGUGGAAAAUCCUUCUGAGAUGGAGUUCUAUCCUGAAACAGGAGAGGUUGAAAUUCAUGAUCAGUUUAAUGCAGAGGAAACACAUUUGAGAAGAGAACCAAGUGAUGAGGAGAUCAACAGCAUGAGAUCAAGCCAGUCUUCAAUAUCAGAAGUGAUUGACAGCAUACCAGAAGAGAAAAUGGAAAAAAUGGAAAAUUUGCAGCAAGGAGAUGGUCAUUUCCCAGAAUCUAGAAUUCCAAGACAAGCUUCAGUGGAGCAAUUGAACAUCCCGCAUGUGAGUGGCGAGGUGGAAGACAAUCAACAUGUAGAACCUGUUUAUGAUUCUAGUCCACCUGCUUCUGAAAAGCUCCAAUCUUUUCUUUCAGUAUCUUCGGAUUCAGCAAUGGAGUUUUCCGAGAGGGCAUUGCCUCCUGCUUCAGUAGAAAUGACUACCGAUGUGGCAGAUAAAGAGUCUGAAGUGCAUGAUCAGAGACUGGAGGAUAAUACUUCUGGUCAUGAAGAAACUCAAGCAGCCUCCUCCCAACUAAAUAUGGAAGUAAAAAAUGAAUUGAGGUCUGAGAAAUCUGAAGAUAUAAAUCAGCACAAUGUUACUGUAGAUGAAUUAUCUGCGGUUGCCCCAAAUUCUGUUGAUCGGAAUGGAUCUGCAACAGCUGAGUCUCUGGUUGUGCCUGUUUCCAUGGAUUCAAAUUUGUUUUCAGAUAUUGGAGGUGUGACUAAUUCAGGCUUUGUUCAUGGACCGGAUCUAGGCGACCACAAAUUUACUGAUUCUGAAAUUCUUCAAGACAGUGUAGGUUCUCCAGAUUCAAACUAUCAAAUGGCUUCUGAAAAGUUACAUCUUUCAGAUACUGAGGAAGGUGAACUGCCCAAUGAGGUAUCAAGAUUUGAUAAUGCAAAUAUGUCUGAGUCAGUCCAAGAUGCAGAUGAAAUGCUGGAUUUGGUGGCUUCUGAUGCCCACCAUAUGUCUUCUAAUGGUUCAUCUAUGCCUACACCAGUAGCUGGGCAAGCACCAGUGGUUCAUCCUAAUCUUCCUUCCGAAGAAACUGAACACGUAGAGAAAAUUUCACUAAAUAAGGAAGGCAUAUUUCAGACUGAACAGGAUAAAGUCUUCUUGUCAAGUUCUGUGGAGCAAGGUAACACUGAUAUCCACCAAGAUUUGGAUAAGAAUAUGGUUUCUUUCAAUUCUGGUAGUCAACAUGGAAUUGAUGUGGAGUCUUCCUCUAAUUUGGAGAAUCAACUGUCAAGGUCCGAUAAAUUUGUGGGUGCACGAUCUUCUAGUGAUCAUGAUGGAAGUCAGAAUUCCGAUGCUAUCCAGGUUGAAUCUGCACAGCGUGUUGGCACUUCCAAUGAUGGAGUUGGAGAAUUGCAAGAUGUCAUCGACAACAUGCCUUUAAAUAUCUCUUCUGUGAAUUCAGAAAAAUAUGAGACUCCUGAAUUCGGUUCACCCACUGGCCAAGUGGAUUUGGAAGUUGAUAAGCAUGGGGAAGUUGAAAAUGAAGACCAACAUGAAGCACUAGAAAACUUGGUUCCUUCAGCAGAGGGCUUCAUGUCUCCAGUUACUGAAGAAAAUAACAAUGAAUUUGAUGAUAUGAAGGAAAUCGAUGAGGGAUUCUUGUCAGAAUUGGACACUGUUGGGGAUUUUAGUGUCAGUGAUGCUGGUGUAUCACUUCAUACUGACAUUGUGCAUGAGAAAACUAGAGAUGCUCAACUUAGUUCCCCGGCUGAGGAUGUAAAGAUCGCAGAGGUUGAGCAGGACAUCCCAGUUCUUGAAGCAAGAUCGCUUGAAGAUAUUAACUUGGCUUUUAAGCAACUUCAAGAAGGAGUGGAUGUUAAGGAGGUCAUCCUUCCAAGUUCAAUUAAGGAUCAGUUUGUCAGUGAAGAAUCUAAAGAUCAUCUUGAAGUUAAUUCAGACAUUCAAGUUAUUGAAGCCAGAUCUCUAGAAGAUAUUAAUAUUGCUUUAAAGCCAAACUCCGAAGGUAAUCAAGGGGAGCUUCAAAAUCCUUUGGAUUUGAAAGACACUUUAGUCAAAAUAGAAGCAAAUGAAGUUGGCUCAGCCAAGGUGAUUGAAUUCUUUGAUGCAGCAACCAGUGCUGAGGAAAUGAGCAGAACUCCAUUGGAUAAAUUGGAAAAGGUACCCGUUAGCAGCUCCAGUAAUGAGGCAAAAUCUCACAGUAGGAAAUCUAGUUCCAGUUCCAGUUCCAGCUCUAGCUCAAGUGAUUCUGAUUGAUACCGAGAGUUCACUUUGAGCAGGAAGAAAGAGUUGUAAGUUUCCUAUUGAUGUUGUUUUAUUUAUUUUUUUCUUCAGUGAUGGGAAUUUUCGUUUCUAGCCUCGGCACCUUCAUGUCUUGGCUAAUGGUAGUUAGGUCAGGUAUUUAUAAUUUUGAUGGAUUGGUUUCUUCAAGAAUGAGUUUUGGUUUUAUUUCUUGAAGCGUGCAGGUUUUUUGUUCAAUUUUACUCCUCGAGUGUAAGCAAUUUGGCAUAUAUAGUGUGAGAGCUUAUUUCCAACAGGAAGGUAGAAGGUCGACGAGGUGUCAUAUUCGAAGGUGAAAAAAGGCCGACACGUACCCAACGCAACACAACCAUUGGCGAAUUGCAUCAGAGAAUUCGGCAGAAGUUAAGUCUUCAAGACAAC